rnacentral:lncRNA from 1 species
AGAUACCGAGUUUCCUACUCUGAUAGCAUGGAAUCUGAGGUUUAGGAUGGCUAAAGUGAUGCAGAGCCCCAUGGCUAGAAUUUCCUUCACUGGUGCUUAGAGUAUUAAUCAAAAAAUGAAAUCUUCACUUGUGUCCAGUAAAGUGUUCCAUCCUGAGAUCUUCUGCUCUGUUUGGACUUCUGCCACUGGAGCUGAACAGCAGAGAAGCCAGGCUGGGUCAAAGCUCCUGGAGGCAGAAGCCUUAACCCUACUUCUGGAAGCCUCUGUUCACUGCUUGGCUCGCGCGGCUCGUGCGCCCCCUCCCGAGCAGCACCAGAACUGCAGAGCCCAGCCCCCGAGAAAGAGUGAGCUGCCAGGGUGGUCUGAAUGGGAGGCAAAGCUCAAGGAACCUUCUCAGGAGUUGAUUCUCCAGGACUAUGGAAAGCAAAGAGCAGAUCGUGAAAUGAUGCGGAGGGCGCCGCCUGCAUGAUCCUCGAGUUCCUGACGUUCCUGGGCUCAGUUGACAUGUCGGUGGGAAGGAAGGGCGGGUUGCAUCCUGCCUGUCAAAGGGAUAACUUCUUAGCUGCCCUGCUGCUGGACCCUGACCUCGAUCUAUGGGCUUCUUCAUGACUACUUGGAUGGAUGCAGAGGUCCACCUCUGGAGCUCCACCAACUUCAUCUUAGAGAUUGAGCCUUAGUGAAGAGACACUGCCAGGGGUCACUAAAGCUUCACUGAAAGGGUCCCUGUGCUACAGAGUUGCAGGGUGGAUCUAUCACUCAUCUGUUUGCAGUUGAAGAAGACCCUGGCCAUCAGGAGGAGAAUUCAGCCUCAAGACUCCC